GCGUUGUCCGGAUUUAUUGGGCGUAAAGAGCGUGUAGGCGGUCAGGUAGGUCCGCUGUGAAAACUCCAGGCUUAACCUGGAGACGUCGGUGGAAACCCUCUGACUAGAGUCCGGGAGAGGAAAGUGGAAUUCCUGGUGUAGCGGUGAAAUGCGCAGAUAUCAGGAAGAAUAUCCGUGGCGAAGGCGGCUUUCUGGAACGGUACUGACGCUGAGACGCGAAAGCGUG
rnacentral:rRNA from 1 species